UACUGUGCCGCCUCCACCGAUCCCCGACCGACGCUGCUGCUCCCUCCACCGCACUUCAUUAGUGCCGCCCUAACCAACCAAACUUGGCACCACCACCACCACCAUCACCACCGUCGUCGUCUCCCCUCGCGAUUCCAAGCCACCCAUCCCCGACCACGGGCCACGGCACCGUGUGUCCGCCGCUGCUGCCGGUGAGGUCGCCGGGGAACGACGCACGCGCGUGCCCGCGCAGGCCAGAUCUUGGGAAGGAAGGGUGACUGGUAGCCAGGAAAAGGAUGAGGAGGGGAAGGAGGGAGGAUGUCGCGGGCGUCGCUCUCGCCGUCGUCGCGAGGGGUGAGGACGAGGGCGUCGAAGGGUACCGCAAGGGCGGGUACCAUGCCAUCCGCCCAGGGACCAGUUCGCCGCAAGCUGCUACGUCGCUCGGCGCAAACUCGGCUAGGGGAACUAAAUACAUCCACUCUGAAUCACCUACUUCCCAUUGUCCUAAAGACUCACAUUUGGUUACUUCACCCGCUUCAUGCCUUGUGAUUUGUGUUGGAGCUUCGAGAGUGCAAUGAGCAACUUUGGUUUUGGUUGAAGUGCAUGAUGGCUUUCCAACAUCCAAGUUAACCAUGCAAAUUUAUCUGAGCCGUCGUACAGGUCCCAUGGAUUCCCAAUGGCAGCAGCCUCUUCAUUUUUAUUUAACAACUGAUUUGGUCACUCUUAACUCAUGUAUUGGUAGCUGUUACAAUGGAUUGACAGAAUAUGAGGCAAAUUUGCUAAGGCAACAUGUGGAUCAGCUAGAUAUAUUAAUCUGUGGUAGGCAUGAAUAAACACAAAUGUAAUGAACACAUAUGUUUAAUAUCUUUAGGUAGAUUAUACCAUUACAUUUUGCGUCAAUUAUAAUUGAUACAAAACAUGUAUUGAUUUAAAUAUUGAUUGCAUUUUUAUAUAAAAGUAAAUUUGACAAAUAAUACAUUAUCAAGCAUAUUCUGUCACCAUGGCGUUAGCACGGGCAAAUUACUAGUGUUGAAUUAUGCUCAUACUAAUGUUUCCCUUUUAAAUUAGCAUUGUUCAAUCCUGUGCUGAACAAAGAUGAUUAUUUUCCUACAAGCUUUCAUUUGCCAUCUACGUGUUCAGUUCGAUGAAGUAUGUCUAUUCAACACCUUGCUUUCUUCUUCAAAAUGCUGUGAGCUCAUGGACACCACUUCCACCAAGUCUAUAAGCCAUUGAACAUUGUUGGGAACUUUGGCUGCACCAGGGACAUUUAAUAUGAGUUUGCCUAUGCCAAAAUGGAAAUGGAGAUUGAUCUCAACACAGAUACUGAGCUGCUUACAGGUAUUUAAGUUCGGUUGCUUCAACAUGUAACUAAAUUAUACCUGAACAACAUUAAUCUUCAUGUGUUCCAUCGCCAGUUCAAUAAUUUUAAUAUAUAUUCCAUCAAUUGACUUACUAAACUAUAUACAUCAGCCUACUUCCAAAAAUAUUUUAGAUUAACAGCAACAAUAUUACUCAUGGUUACC